AUUGAACGCUGGCGGCAUGCUUUACACAUGCAAGUCGAACGGUAACAGGCCGCAAGGUGCUGACGAGUGGCGAACGGGUGAGUAAUGCAUCGGAACGUGCCCAGUCGUGGGGGAUAACGCAGCGAAAGCUGUGCUAAUACCGCAUACGAUCUAUGGAUGAAAGCGGGGGACCGUAAGGCCUCGCGCGAUUGGAGCGGCCGAUGUCAGAGUAGGUGGUUGGUGGGGUAAAGGCCUACCAAGCCAACGAUCUGUAGCUGGUCUGAGAGGACGACCAGCCACACUGGGACUGAGACACGGCCCAGACUCCUACGGGAGGCAGCAGUGGGGAAUUUUGGACAAUGGGCGCAAGCCUGAUCCAGCAAUGCCGCGUGCAGGAAGAAGGCCUUCGGGUUGUAAACUGCUUUUGUACGGAACGAAACGGUCUGGGUUAAUACCCUGGGCUAAUGACGGUACCGUAAGAAUAAGCACCGGCUAACUACGUGCCAGCCGCCGCGGUAACAC
rnacentral:rRNA from 1 species